rnacentral:lncRNA from 1 species
UUUUUUAAGAUGGAACUAAUCUGAGUUCUUGUGCAACUAGAGAAGAUGAGGAUGUCAACUAGUUAUUGUUGUGCAAUUAGAAUUACCGAGGUUGCCAACUAAUUAGAUAUUAUUCUGCAACUAGAAAGCCAGAGGAUGCCAAGUCGUUACAUACUCUUGGGACAAUUCUAAAAAACUUGAAGAUGGCAACGUUGAGCAACUGAGAAAGUAGAGCAUGCCAAUGCUUAAUUAGUCCUUCUGCAACCAUGUAUGAAAAUUCAUACACUUGGCUGCCUGUAUGUGGAGUAAAAAGUAUUCAUGAUAGAACUUUAUGUUACCACAGCGGCUGCUGCAGAAGAUGUGGCAUCUACCCCUUUAGAUACUGCCUCCGCGCGCACAUUUCUUCUCUGCAGAUUUACUAAGAGGAAUCUUUCGCCACCAUAAAGUUUUGCCUAGCAGAUUCUGUGCAACUACUUCUAUUGCCCCUGCCAACUACUUCCAAUGACUGUGUCCAACUGAAAACAACUAUGUAUGCAACUAGAACUACUAUAGAUGCCAACAAAAAAUGAUCACCAUAUGUGCAGCUUUCCAAUGACCGUAUCCAACUGAAAACAACUAUGUGUGCAACUAGAACGACUAUAGAUGCCACCCAAAAUUGAUCGCCGUGUGUGUAAUUUUCCAAUGAUCGUGUCCAACUGAAAACAACUAUGUGUGCAACUAGAACUACUAUAGAUGCCAACAAAAAAUGAUUGCCAUGUGUGCAAUUUUUCAAUAAUAGGAUCCAACUGAGAACAACUGUAUGUGCAACUACAACUACUAUAGUAAUGAUCGUCUCUGACGAAAACAACUAUGUGUGCAACAAGAAUUACUAUAAAUGCCAAAAAUGAUCGCCAUGUGUAUUCAGUUCAAUGUAUUCCGUUCCACUUUCACCGCCGUAGGAAAAAGGUUUAGUGUUGUGCAACUUUCUAAUUGUCGUAUCCAACCAAGAACUGCUAUGUGUACAACUACAACCACUACGGAUGCCAACUAAGAAUGUGAAGAUCAAUAUAUCUGAAAAAGUGAUACAUACAAUCAGUAGAAACAGAGGGCAAAAAUACAAAGGAACGAAACAGAUAAAAUUGUUGCUUACGAAUCAAGUGCUGCUUCUUCUGCUUCUACACGGAGAUAUAUUGGCUGUGAGUAUCGAGCAACUGCUUUGCUUUGCAUGCUAUAACCCCCGAAGGGCAUCCUCGUCGUUCAAUAGCCGUUGGCCGUCGUUGUUGCAACAGCAGUCACAUCGCGGGCGCGCGAUAGUUGGUGUUGAGUUCAGUGAGGAUGCAGGCCGAGAGCCACGCAGGUCGCCGCCGGCGAGCACCUUAACCCCACACGGCUAGCCCUUCGUAAUAGCGUGCAUUCAUUUGGAUAUUACACACAUCGUCCUUCAUUCUGCAGUACAAGUAGACAAGAGGGAUGCAUACCUGCUUAUUACAAUUCUCAGCCCGUUUGGACAACGGCGGAAAAUCUUGACAUCCUUGCUUAUCUUCCUCUUGAGCCACUGGCAGAGCUGCGCUGGGUCCGCCUUCCCCGCCACGGCCACGACUCCAGUGCCGACGUUUCCAUCC